GUGGCUCCACUAAUUAGGUGUGCGGUCCCCCAGGUGCUCACCUUAGAGGGAACUAUCCACAGACCACCUGAAUGAAGCUCUCGGACCACUGGUGGUCCACGGACCACAGUUUGAGAACCUCUGGAUUAGUCUGCAAAACUCUAGUCAAUGAUUGUCUGACUAGUGUGUAUAAAACCAUGCUUUUUUGCACGGGGUUUUAAAUUGAGAACCUAUAGAUAGCAAUCAUGUUUUUACAAGAUGCCUACAGACACCAAGAAGUUAGAAUUGCCUUUGAAUGCGCCUGCAUGUGUUCGGAAGAGACAAGCUUAUUACACUUAUUUUGCUAAAGAGGAAUCACCAAUACCGAAUCCCGUGUUCCAUCCAGAAUUUGAACUGAAGAACCAGGGAGACUUUAUGGAGUUGUCACCGGUUGUAAAUGAGGAAAAAGAUGUAAAGGACAGGGCACAGAGAGAUUUUUUGCCUGUUAUGGAGCAGGCAGACUCGAGGGCAGAGGUAAGAAGGGUCUAUAUUAUUUUAUAACAAAUUGUUGAAAAAUUAUAAGAGGUUAAAUAUUUAUAUUUUUUAUAGGCAGGAGAGGAAGAAAAGCCUUAUAUACGUGGACAGAGCGGCUGUGGAAUUGUCAGAGGCUAGUGAGGCUCAGAGUCAGGCAGUAACUGAUGAAUCAUGGGCAGAUGGCGACAUUGUUAUGAUAACCAAGCCAGGACCAUACAGGAUCACAACCCAAGUGUGUAGCAAGUGGCCAUUAGCUUCAGAACUAUCUAAGCCAGAAGCACAUGACAAGCAAAGACAGAUGACACGGAGAGAAACUCGGUUCCUGACAAUGCGACUGACGGGGAUGAUGAUGAUUCAGAAACAGAUGAGGGUAUGAUUGAGAUACUUCAGGAUGAAGAGGAUAAGAGAACCAGCCUUUGGGAAGGAUAAACCUGAUAUGCACAUGCUCCUUUUGCAUGAAGCAAGAUUAAAAAAAAAUACCGUAAAAAGUACAGUAGAACCUCAGAGUUAUGAACACCUUGGGAAUGGAGGUUGUUCGGAACUCUGAAAUGUUCGUAACUCAGAACAAAACUUUAUGGUUCUUU